UAUUUUAUAAUUGCCAACGAC
rnacentral:piRNA from 1 species